CCAGAGCUCUAAAGCUGAGUUUCUCCAUCGGGGUCUCUGUGCCGGUUGAGGUGUUUCCUGUCGUGGAGGUAAAUCGAGUGGCUCACUGAGAGGGGCUCGGCCACGACUUCCAGCAGCUGGUUUGCCUCCGGGAAACAGUAGUCUCGUGGAGGCUCUGAAUGGUGAAUUUGUGGCAGUAGGCAGCACCAGCGUGCCAGAGCCG